rnacentral:tRNA from 1 species
GCCGGUGUAGCUUAAUGGUAGAGCAGCCAAACUGUAAUUGGCAGACGUGGUGUUCGAUUCCCUCCGCCGGCUCCA